rnacentral:lncRNA from 1 species
UAUCAUUGCUUUGGUUCCUUCCUUGAGAGAUGUUUGCUUUGCUUUAUUGGAGACAAGUGAAAUAGCAGCAGUUAAGAAAAUUGCAAUGACUACUUGGAAUGAAAGGAAUAAGAUGCAAUGGGAUGAUGAGGUUGAAGAGUGUAGGAUUCCAACUCAACGAGCUAAUGGGACGUUUUACGCAGAUCGGAAAAAUGCAGCAGCUGCACAGACGCGUAUGGUUCGGGGGCAGCAGAUGGAAAAUUCUGAUGUUGGGACGGUGCAUUGGAGUACUCCCGUGUAAUAUUGAUGCAGCAUUUUUUCAACAAAGAGCUACAACUAUUGGUAUGUGACUGUGUGAUCAGCAAGAACGGACUACAUUCCAUUCCAAAGAGCUAAAAGGCAUUCAUACUAUUUUCACAGAACAUGGGAAUAUUUUAGAAGCUUGUUGUAAUAUAUUACA